GAUGAACGCUGGCGGCGUGCCUAAUACAUGCAAGUCGAGCGAACAGACGAGGAGCUUGCUCCUCUGACGUUAGCGGCGGACGGGUGAGUAACACGUGGAUAACCUACCUAUAAGACUGGGAUAACUUCGGGAAACCGGAGCUAAUACCGGAUAAUAUAUUGAACCGCAUGGUUCAAUAGUGAAAGACGGUUUUGCUGUCACUUAUAGAUGGAUCCGCGCCGCAUUAGCUAGUUGGUAAGGUAACGGCUUACCAAGGCGACGAUGCGUAGCCGACCUGAGAGGGAUCGGCCACACUGGAACUGAGACACGGUCCAGACUCCUACGGGAGGCAGCAGUAGGGAAUCUUCCGCAAUGGGCGAAAGCCUGACGGAGCAACGCCGCGUGAGUGAUGAAGGUCUUCGGAUCGUAAAACUCUGUUAUUAGGGAAGAACAAAUGUGUAAGUAACUAUGCACGUCUUGACGGUACCUAAUCAGAAAGCCACGGCUAACUACGUG
rnacentral:rRNA from 1 species